rnacentral:rRNA from 1 species
UGCAAGUCGAGCGGACCUCUUCGGAGGUCAGCGGCGGACGGGUGAGUAACACGUGGGCAACCUGCCUGUAAGACUGGGAUAACUCCGGGAAACCGGAGCUAAUACCGGAUAGUAUCUUGAACCGCAUGGUUCAAGUUGGAAAGACGGUUUCGGCUGUCACUUACAGAUGGGCCCGCGGCGCAUUAGCUAGUUGGUGAGGUAAUGGCUCACCAAGGCAACGAUGCGUAGCCGACCUGAGAGGGUGAUCGGCCACACUGGGACUGAGACACGGCCCAGACUCCUACGGGAGGCAGCAGUAGGGAAUCUUCCGCAAUGGACGAAAGUCUGACGGAGCAACGCCGCGUGAGUGAUGAAGGUUUUCGGAUCGUAAAACUCUGUUGUUAGGGAAGAACAAGUGCGAGAGUAACUGCUCGCACCUUGACGGUACCUAACCAGAAAGCCACGGCUAACUACGUGCCAGCAGCCGCGGUAAUACGUAGGUGGCAAGCGUUGUCCGGAAUUAUUGGGCGUAAAGCGCGCGCAGGCGGUUUCUUAAGUCUGAUGUGAAAGCCCCCGGCUCAACCGGGGAGGGUCAUUGGAAACUGGGAAACUUGAGUGCAGAAGAGGAGAGUGGAAUUCCACGUGUAGCGGUGAAAUGCGUAGAGAUGUGGAGGAACACCAGUGGCGAAGGCGACUCUCUGGUCUGUAACUGACGCUGAGGCGCGAAAGCGUGGGGAGCGAACAGGAUUAGAUACCCUGGUAGUCCACGCCGUAAACGAUGAGUGCUAAGUGUUAGAGGGUUUCCGCCCUUUAGUGCUGCAGCUAACGCAUUAAGCACUCCGCCUGGGGAGUACGGUCGCAAGACUGAAACUCAAAGGAAUUGACGGGGGCCCGCACAAGCGGUGGAGCAUGUGGUUUAAUUCGAAGCAACGCGAAGAACCUUACCAGGUCUUGACAUCCUUUGCCACUUCUAGAGAUAGAAGGUUCCCCUUCGGGGGACAAAGUGACAGGUGGUGCAUGGUUGUCGUCAGCUCGUGUCGUGAGAUGUUGGGUUAAGUCCCGCAACGAGCGCAACCCUUGAUCUUAGUUGCCAGCAUUCAGUUGGGCACUCUAAGGUGACUGCCGGUGACAACCGGAGGAAGGUGGGGAUGACGUCAAUCAUCAUGCCCCUAUGACUGGGCUAMMMCGUGCUANAUGGAUGGUAMAAGGCUG